CUACGGGCUGCACCAGUAGGGAAUCUUGCGCAAUGGACGAAAGUCUGACGCAGCAACUCCGCGUGAGGGAAGACGGGCUUCGGUUUGUAAACCUCUUUUAUUUGGGAAGAAAAAGCUUAUGGCGACAUAGGACUUGACGGUACCAUUUGAAUAAGCUCCGGCUAAAUACGUGCCAGCAGCCGCGGUAAUACGUAUGGAGCGAGCGUUACUCGGAAUCACUGGGCGUAAAGAGUUCGUAGGCGGACUUGCAAGUCAGAAGUGAAAUUUUGGGGCUUAACCCCGAAACUGCUUUUGAAACUGCUUGUCUUGAGUAUGUGAGAGGAAGAUGGAAUUCCUGGUGUAGCGGUGGAAUGCGUAGAUAUCAGGAAGAACACCGGUGGCGAAGGCGGUCUUCUGGCACAAUACUGACGCUGAGGAACGAAAGCGUGGGGAGCGAACAGGAUUAGAUACCCCGGUAGUC
rnacentral:rRNA from 1 species